rnacentral:misc_RNA from 1 species
GCUUCCGCCAGUCAAUCCAAUGAACAAGUGCUUGCCUUUGCCAGAACUGCAAAUACUCCAUCGUCACCCUGGAUGCCUUUCUCGAUGCUCUUUGCUGCUAUAUCAGCUAAAGUUUCUGCGGAAGAUAUGGACCGAGUAAACAUCCAUUAUCUUGAGUUCAAGCGAAGAAAGAUAAGCAGGACAGACCUUGUUAAAAAGUUGAGGGACAUAAUUGGUGAUAAACUGCUGGUAUCUACCAUUGUAAAACUACAGCACAAGAUACCUCUUCCGCUGCGGCAUGAACAGGCUGGAACCUUG